UCAUGGGAGACGAGAAGUUCUACUGAAUACACACGAGGGCCCUCACCGACUCCUCCGAUACCCCCAUCCUGGGUCCAAAGCUAUUUCUUUGAGUUCUUCGAAGAAUUCGGAGAGUACUACAUUGGGUCAUCCCUGCCUGGAACCACCUAGGGAGGGAUUCCCUCGAACUUUACUCGAUAUUCGUAUUUUACCUGGGCAGCGCUUGGAUCCCUCCCUCAGCUGCUCCACCGGCUCACCUCCCACAGACCCCAGAAACGGAAGUCACUGUUACGCACAUCCGGCCACUCAUGGGGGGCCGGCUGGGGUCCCAGGAGUAUGACUCUUGUGGUUCCCCCUCUGUUAUAAUGAAAAAAUGGAGAUACGUAGCAGCUGUCAUGAACUGUGAAGAGGCUAAGAUUUUUAUCCUUCUUGCAAGCUAACAAGUUAGCCUGUCACUUCUUGGAUGCUGGCAAAAAGCAUGAGGCUCUUGGUUGUUUACUUAUUGGGAACUAGAGUCAACUGAAAGACAAAACUGAAUGGCCUAGCUUUCAUCCAGCGAAUUAGAGGACUUAAUCUCAGAUCCUGGAAAAGAAGGUAGAAUGAACUACAGAAGAAAAAGCCAGGUUAGAAUCCAGUCAUUCACAU
rnacentral:lncRNA from 12 species